GGGGUGCACUCAGGGCAGGGGGCUUGAAGAACGGCUCCUCUGUUUACAACACACUCAACAGGGGUCUGAGGUCACAGUGAUGAGAGGCCCAAACUUGUGGCCUCCCCAUGAACAAAUGCCCUACUCAU
ensembl:snoRNA